AUGGAAGAAAGAAAGGACAGCCCACCCGUCCAUCAAUCAACAAAAAAUCCGAUGAUGCUGUCCUUUCUUCCUUCCUGUGCGUGCGUCGAAUGCAUGACGACUGACUGUGCUGGCUCGGGGUAUCGAGUGCCCCCCCCUCCCCCAUGAUCCUCGACUUCAUUCAGACAGUCUUUUUGCCU
rnacentral:ribozyme from 1 species